GAGGAGGUGGCCGAGCGGCUGAUGGCGGCAGUUUGCUAAACUGCUCAGGGGCACGCCCCUGCGUGGGUUCAAAUCCCACUCUCCUCGCCA
rnacentral:tRNA from 1 species